UACGAAGGGGGCGAGCGUUGUUCGGAUUUACUGGGCGUAAAGGGCGCGCAGGCGGUUCUGUUUGUCGAGUGUGAAAGCCCCCGGGCUCAACCUGGGAACUGCGCUCGAAACGGCGGAACUAGAGUUCGGGAGAGGAGAGUGGAAUUCCCAGUGUAGAGGUGAAAUUCGUAGAUAUUGGGAAGAACACCGGUGGCGAAGGCGGCUCACUGGCCCGGUACUGACGCUGAGGCGCGAAAGCGUGGGGAGCGAACAGG
rnacentral:rRNA from 1 species